rnacentral:rRNA from 1 species
UACAGAGGUCUCAAGCGUUGUUCGGAUUCAUUGGGCGUAAAGGGUGCGUAGGCGGCGCGGUAAGUCGGGUGUGAAAUCUUGGAGCUUAACUCCGAAACUGCAUUCGAUACUGCCGUGCUUGAGGACUGGAGAGGAGACUGGAAUUUACGGUGUAGCGGUGAAAUGCGUAGAUAUCGUAAGGAAGACCAGUGGCGAAGGCGGGUCUCUGCACAGUUCCUGACGCUGAGGUGCGAAAGCGUGGGGAGCAAACAGG